CCCUUAGAUGUCCUGGGCUGCACGCGCGCUACACUGAUGUGUCCAGUAAGCACCUAACCUCUUCCGAAAGGAACGGGUAACCUUUGCAAAGCACAUCGUGAUGGGGAUAGAUUAUUGCAAUUAUUAGUCUUGAACGAGGAAUUCCUAGUAAGCACAAGUCAUCAGCUUGUGUUGAUUACGUCCCUGCCCUUUGUACCCACCGCCCGUCGCUCCUACCGAUUGAAUGUUCCGGUGAGCUCUUCGGACUGCGCGGUCUGCAGUUUCUGCGUUCCGUGCGGAAAGUUGCGCAAACCUUAACAUUUAGAGGAAGGAGAAGUCGUAACA
rnacentral:rRNA from 1 species